rnacentral:lncRNA from 1 species
AUUUAUUGUAACAAAAUAAAGAAAUGAGAAACAAAAUGUAAAACUAAAUUGUAGUAGAAGAACAUUGGAGUGCAAAACUACAGAACAAGUUUUGAAAGCUUGUUCCUUCUGUAUUUGUUGAGCCGAAGCUACAAGUAAAUCCCAACAAUCAUACAAUUAAAUCGAUACCAGAGGUUGACAACUUCAAGAUUGGGCAUUGAACCAAGAAUCGUGAUAUAUUUCCAAGGAAACCUGCAACAUAAUGUUGUGGUUUGCAGGCCUUUGACAGGAGUUCUUUACAAUGUUUGACAAUCUACUUCCUAAAUUUCUCCAUCUCAGAAGGGCACAAAGCUUUUCAAACACUUCUUCACAAAAUAAAUUCCAUCUUUCAUCCUUAUUGAGAAAGUUGACAUGAUGAAGAUAACAACAGUAGCUAGCAUAUAUAGCGAAGUUCACUGGACUACUAGUUAACAAGAUUCUACUUCCAUAUUAUUUAUAUCUGUUUCAUAUCAUCCCAUACAUCAUCCAUUACAAUGGGAUAUCUCCUUUCGUUUAAUGAUAUUUUUAGUCUACUGGUUAACAGGAUUUUACUCCAUCUUGCUUGUAUCAAUAUUUCAUAUUGCCCCAAAUCGGAUAUUCAAAACAUUAUCCAUCACAACAAGAUACCUCCUUCCACUUAUCCUAGGCUCUUAGUCAACAAGAUUCUUAUCCUAUAUCAUUCGUACGAUUCCACGUUUCUUAGGCUCUUUGUCAACAAAUUCUUAUCAUAUAUCAUUUGUAAGAUAGGAGACCUCCAUAUCCCACACAUCAUCCAUGAUAAUAAGAUAUAUCAUUCCCUUCAAAAAUAUUUUCUAAUAUACUGGUUAGCAAAAUUCUACUUCCACGUCAUUUUCAAAUGAUUAUUUAGUAUCGUCACGCCACCUAGUAUUUCAUAUAUCACCUAUCAUAGUAUAAUUUUGAGAUAUUGUUGCCCACGUACGAAUGUUACAUCAUACAAAAUAAAUCCAUGAUCGUAAAUUUUUCUAACAUAAAGUGUCUUACCGAGUCCUUCCAUUCCAACUAUAGAGAUUAGAUCAAGUUCCGUUUCUUGAUCUCCAUCGAAUCAGCAUCAAGAUCCACCCCAAUGAUCUCAUCUUUGGUCGCAGUUUUUGAGGAAUCAGCAAGCGAUAAUGUCUUCCUUGCCAAAAUUCCAUUGUUUUCACUGCUCAUUUGAGAAGAAUUUUCAACUUUCAAGAAACUAAAAGGGUUUCAAAUAUGGAUGUAAUUUGUUGUUUCUAGAUCUCAAAUAUAUUGAUAAUUUUGAAAGCAACUUUCAAUUUCUUAAUGGCAUAACAGGCUGGAUUUGC